ensembl:lncRNA
CUCUGCUGCCCUGCCUGGCUCGGAUGGAAAGGACUGAGGAAGGAGGCCUCCAACCAGAAGGAGAGCUGCUCCCUCAGGGCUGGAGAAUGGGCUUCGGGGCCAUCCUGUCUCCCAGCUGACCUGCGAGACACACUCCCAAGUGGCAACCCGGUCGGAGGCCGCCGCAGGGUCUGUGAGCGCUCCGGCGCCGUCAGCUCCCCGCUGACGGACCUACAGGGCUCUGCUCUGCAGACUGCUCCGUGCCGGCCCCAGCCUCGGAAACUCUCCAAGGAGCUGCCGACGCAGUGAUGAGCCAGCUCGGGCUUGGAACCCAACCGGGCUAUUUUUAAAAGCUGUCUCCCAAAGCGACGCUGUGACACAGAGCAAGCUGCGUGCAGAGGAGACGCGGCCCAGCCUGUGAGGAUCUCCAGACCUCACAUCAGCUGAGGUCGGGAAUACCAAAGGAGGAAGACAGGCUUCUGAGAGGUCAAGAUUUACUGGACUGUAUACAAUUCAAAAAUUUGUACCUAUUCAGGUUUGGGAACAGUAUUAACCUAGGAAUGCUUAAGCAGAAGAAGUGUGGAAAACAAGCCUGAAAAUAUUCCCCUCUGAAGGACGAGAUCUUUGAACUGCUGUGCGAGGUUUGUUUAUUUAUCACGAAGUUAACUACCCAGUGUCUUGCCAUCUGCUCAGUGGAACUCAUCUGGGUCCAGUUCAAAUAUCUCCCUCCUUUCUGCUUCGUCCUCCACUUCCCUUCUUCCCUUCCUUUCUCGUUCCUUUCUUUCCAAAUGGGAAUAUCUGAAUGCACAAGGUGUCACGCUUGGAAAAAUCCACGAUGCAUUCAACCUCAUUUUGUCUCGUACUAGUGCGUACCAGGAAUUUCAGAUGACUCGGACAAGCUGUGGUUGAUUGACGAUUGACUAUGAGAUACACGAUUAGGCCUCAUAGCUUCCAGAGGAUGUGCCCUUCCUUUCUGACAUCAGUGUCACGACUGUGGCCAGAUCGAGAUUCUCCCACGCCGAGCACAGCAUGGGCACCAUUCUCCAGGACUUCACAAAGCCCCUUCCGGCCGGAUUCAUUCUCAGCCCCCGCCAACCUCCGGGCCCUGCUGUGAGAGGGCCCUUCCCUCUCUCCUCAAGCUUGCAUCACGCAUGCUCUGGUGAAGCAUUGGAAGUGCCGGCUUUAGAGGCUGUUCUGUGGCGUCUGUUCUCUGGACAGCACCCUGAGAGUUACUUACCUCCAGUGAAAUCUGCCGGGAGGUAAACAUCUUAAUCCAUUCACAGUCCAUGCCACCAUAUUUCAGCCUCAGCACGGGGCCAAAAAUAAUGGAGCCAGCAGGCCAUGGACCGAAACCUCUGAAAUUGUGCACCAAAACAAAUACUUCUCCUUAGCCAUCCAACGGGACGGCAGGCUCUUAGAAAACGACGGCGUCCUCAUCCACCUCAGUCACCAGAUCUGGCACCCUGUGACUUCCGGCUCCUCCCCAAACUCAAAGUGACUGCAAGAGAUCUCUGCCUCGGUCCCCAAGCAGCACUGGAUGGGAAUCACAUGAGGACACAGCGUCCUGGCUGUGAAUUUGCCUGGCUGUGUCAUCCCCCUUCAGACUGAGGACACCAAGAUAAGAGCAACUAAAGUAAUCUGCAGGGUUUGCAGGGACAUGCAACCACAGCUUUUACAACGAGCAGUUCCAGACUCCCUGGAAUGUCCCCAGCCAUUGUCCUGAUCCCACAGCCACCUUGGAUUCCAGAAAAAGCAGAGCCUCUCCGACUACCCCACGAUGAGGUCACCCUCCAAGUAGGAGCAUUCAGAGCACGGCGAACCAGGGCCGCCCCUCAUCGGAAGCCACCCCAGGAACAGAAGGACCCCUGGGUCUCCCAGGACCUCCCAGCACCAGUCCUGGGCACCCAUGCGCCUGCCCACGGCUUGACCAGAACGGUCUAAACUGACAGUGAUGUAAAUCCCCACCUCUUACCUUGGUUCCCCUUUGCUAGAAAACCCCAAAGCUUUUGCCAGGCCCUCAGAGACAGAUUGUGGUGCCUUCUGCUUGGUUGUACUGAUUCAAGUUCCUUUUCCUGCCCUAAC